rnacentral:rRNA from 1 species
ACUCCUACGGGAGGCAGCAGUGAGGAAUAUUGCGCAAUGGGCGAAAGCCUGACGCAGCAACGCCGCGUGGAUGAUGAAGGCCUUCGGGUUGUAAAAUCCUUUUCUGGGGGACGAUAAUGACGGUACCUCAGGAAUAAGUCCGCGGCUAACUACGUGCCAGCAGCCGCGGUAAU